rnacentral:rRNA from 1 species
CCUACGGGAGGCAGCAGUGGGGAAUAUUGGGCAAUGGGCGCAAGCCUGACCCAGCAACGCCGCGUGAAGGAAGAAGGCUUUCGGGUUGUAAACUUCUUUUCUCAGGGACGAAGCAAGUGACGGUACCUGAGGAAUACGCCACGCCUAACUACGUGCCAGCAGCCGCGGUAAUACGGAGGUGGCAAGCGUUAUACGGAUUUACUGGGUGUAAAGGGCGUGUAGGCGGGAGUGCAAGUCAGAUGUGAAAACCACGGGCUCAACCUUUGGCCUGCAUUUGAAACUGUAGUUCUUGAGUACUGGAGAGGCAGACGGAAUUCCUAGUGUAGCGGUGAAAUGCGUAGAUAUUAGGAGGAACACCAGUGGCGAAGGCGGUCUGCUGGACAGCAACUGACGCUGAGGCGCGAAAGCGUGGGGAGCAAACAGGAUUAGAUACCCCGGUAGUC